rnacentral:rRNA from 1 species
CCUGCCGGACCUGACUCGCUAUCGUAUUGGUACUAAGCCAUGCGAGUCGUUGUACAAUACAAGGCGGACUGCUCAGUAACACGUAGUUAACUUAACCUAUGNGGAACUGGGAAUAACCUCGGGAAACUGAGAAUAAUACCCAAUGGACCACAGUGCCUGGAAUGGCCUGUGGUUGAAAUGAUUUAUCGCCGUAGGAUAGGACUGCGGCCUAUCAGCUUGUUGGUGAGGUAAUGGCCCACCAAGGCUAUAACAGGUACGGGCUCUGAGAGGAGGGGCCCGGAGAUGGGUACUGAGACACGGACCCAGGCCCUAUGGGGCGCAGCAGGCGAGAAACCUUUGCAAUGUGCGAAAGCACGACAAGGUUAAUCCGAGUGUCUCCUGCUAAAGGAGUCUUUUGUCAGUUGUAGAAUCACUGGUGAAUAAGGGGUGGGCAAGUUCUGGUGUCAGCCGCCGCGGUAAAACCAGCACCUCGAGUGGUCAGGAGGUUUAUUGGGCCUAAAGCAUCCGUAGCCGGUUGCAUAAGUUUCCGGUUAACUCUAUGCGCUU